rnacentral:rRNA from 1 species
CCUACGGGUGGCAGCAGUAGGGAAUCUUCCACAAUGGACGAAAGUCUGAUGGAGCAACGCCGCGUGAGGGAAGAAGGGUUUAGGCUCGGAAAGCUCUGUUGGUAGUGAAGAAAGAUAGAGGUAGUAACUGGCCUUUAUUUGACGGUAAUUACUUAGAAAGGCACGGCUAACUACGUGCCAGCAGCCGAGGUAAUACGUAGGGGGCAAGCGUUGUCCGGAUUUAUUGGGCGUAAAGCGAGUGCAGGCGGUUCAAUAAGUCUGAUGUGAAAGCCUUCGGCUCAACCGGAGAAUUGCAUCAGAGACUGUUGGACUUGAGUGCAGAAGAGGAGAGUGGAACUCCAUGUGUAGCGGUGGAAUGCGUAGAUAUAUGGAAGAACACCAGUGGCGAAGGCGGCUCUCUGGUCUGCCACUGACGCUGAGGCUCGAAAGCAUGGGUAGCGAACAGGAUUAGAUACCCCAGUAGUC